rnacentral:tRNA from 2 species
CGGGCUAUAGCGCAGCAUGGUAGCGCGUCCGUCUGGGGGACGGAAGGUCGUGAGUUCGAAUCUCGCUAGCCCGA